GAGGACCCGCGGGAGAGGUGGGACUCGCCUGAGCCCGCCCGUCGCUGCCCGCCUUCCCCCUCCCACCCGGGCUGUGCGGUGCGGCCCCGCGGAGCCGGGAGCAGCGCGGCGGGGCAUCCGGCAGCCCAAAGCUCCAGGUAUCCACAGUUACUUGCUAAGUCAGAAUUACUCUGGGAAGUCUGGAAGCCCCUGUUUCCAGAAAUGACAUUUAAACACCAACUUUUCAGCAUUGCCUUUAUGGUUGUGGCUAUGCUUUGGCAGAAUAGGAAUUGCUUCUGGAACUGACCAAGGCUGAAGAGGGCUGUGACACUCCAGAUUCAAUGUAAUCACGUGGGGCACCAGAA
rnacentral:lncRNA from 14 species